AUAAAGUAUAGUUAGUGGCAGACGGGUGAGUAAUGCAUAGGAAUCUACCUAGUAGUAUGGGAUAGCCACUAGAAAUGGUGGGUAAUACUGUAUAAUCCCUGCGGGGGAAAGAUUUAUCGCUAUUAGAUGAGCCUAUGUUAGAUUAGCUAGUUGGUAGGGUAAAGGCCUACCAAGGCGAUGAUCUAUAGCUGGUCUGAGAGGAUGAUCAGCCACACUGGAACUGAGAUACGGUCCAGACUCCUACGGGAGGCAGCAGUGGGGAAUAUUGGACAAUGGGCGCAAGCCUGAUCCAGCUAUGCCGCAUGAGUGAGGAAGGCCUUAGGGUUGUAAAACUCUUUCAGUAGGGAAGAUAAUGACGGUACCUACAGAAGAAGUCCCGGCAAACUCCGUGCCAGCAGCCGCGGUAAUACGGAGGGGGCAAGCGUUGUUCGGAAUUAUUGGGCGUAAAGGGCAUGUAGGCGGUUCGGUAAGUUAAAGGUGAAAUGCCAGGGCUUAAC
rnacentral:rRNA from 1 species